rnacentral:lncRNA from 1 species
CGGCAAAAGAAACAGUCACUAGAGUGAAUUGGCAACCAACAGAAUGGGAAAAAAUUUUUGCAGUUUACCCAUCUGACAAAGGGCUGAUAUCCAGAAUUUACAAAGAACUCAAACAGAUUUACAAGAAAAAAACAAACAAGCCCAUUCAAAAGUGGGCAAAGGAUAUGAACAGACACUUUACAAAAGAAGACAUAUAUGAGGCCAACAAUCAUAUGAAAAAAUGCUCAUCAUCACUGGUCAUCAGAGAGAUGCAAAUCAAAACCACAUUGAGAUACCAUCUCACGCCAGUUAGAAUGGCAAUCAUUAAAAAAUCUGGAGACAACAGAUGCUAGAGAGGAUGUGGAGAAAAAGGAACACUUUUACACUGUUGGUGGGAGUGUAAAUUAGUUCAACCAUUGUGGAAGAAAGUGUGGCGAGUCCUCAAGGCCUGAGAAAUAGAAAUUCCAUUUGACCCAGCAAUCCCAUUACUGGGUAUAUAUCCAAAGGACUAUAAAUCGUUCUACUAUAAGGACACAUGCACAUGAAUGUUCAUUGCAGCACUGUUUACAAUAGCAAAGACCUGGAACCAACCCAAAUGCCCAUCGAUGAUAGACUGGACUGGGAAAAUGUGGCACAUAUACACCAUGGAAUAUUAUGCAGCAAUCAAAAAUGAUGAGUUCAUGUCGUUUAUAGGGACAUGGAUGAAUCUGGAGAACAUCAUUCUCCGCAAACUGACACAAGAACAGAAAAUGAAACACCGCAUAUUCUCACUCAUAGGUGGGUGAUGAAAAAUGAGAACACAUGGACACAGGGAGGGGACAUGGAUGAAUCUGGAGAACGUCAUCCUCAGCAAACUGACACAAGAACAGAAAAUGAAACACCGCAUAUUCUCACUCAUAGGCGGGUGAUGAAAAAUGAGAACACAUGGACACAGAAAGGGGAGUACUAAACACUGGGGUCUACUGGGGGGAAAAGGGGAGGGCCAGUGGGAGGGGGAGGUGGGGAGGGAUAGCCUGGGGAGAAAUGCCAAAUGUGGGUGAAGGGGAGAAGGAAAGAAAAGCACACUGCCAUGUGUGUACCUACACAACUGUCUUGCAUGCUCUGCUCAUGUACCCCAAAACCUAAAAUCCAAUAAAAAAUUUAAAAAAAAAGGUACUCUCCACUUCCAAAAUAUAUAAA